CCCCUCUCAGGGUCACAGCUGGAGAGUUUUGACCUGAAAGUGGGAAGUUAAAAGUACUCUGCCAACCUCGGCUAUGGGAGGGAGAGUCAAGCAGAGGCCAACCCAUUCCAUUCCUAGCUUGGCCAGUGGCUAGCGAGUGGAAGGCAAUCUGCUACAAGU
rnacentral:snoRNA from 1 species